rnacentral:rRNA from 1 species
CUACGUGCCAGCAGCCGCGGUAAUACGUAGGGCGCAAGCGUUGUCCGGAAUUAUUGGGCGUAAAGAGCUCGUAGGCGGCUGGUCGCGUCUGUCGUGAAAACUUCCGGCUCAACCGGGGGCUUGCGGUGGGUACGGGCCGGCUAGAGUGCGGUAGGGGUAACUGGAACUCCUGGUGUAGCGGUGGAAUGCGCAGAUAUCAGGAAGAACACCGAUGGCGAAGGCAGGUUACUGGGCCGUUACUGACGCUGAGGAGCGAAAGCGUGGGGAGCGAACAGGAUUAGAUACCCUGGUAGUCCACGCCGUAAACGUUGGGCACUAGGUGUGGGGGCCACCCGUGGUUUCUGCGCCGUAGCUAACGCUUUAAGUGCCCCGCCUGGGGAGUACGGCCGCAAGGCUAAAACUCAAAGGAAUUGACGGGGGCCCGCACAAGCGGCGGAGCAUGCGGAUUAAUUCGAUGCAACGCGAAGAACCUUACCAAGGCUUGACAUGC